rnacentral:rRNA from 4 species
CUGCAUGGCUGUCGUCAGCUCGUGUUGUGAAAUGUUGGGUUAAGUCCCGCAACGAGCGCAACCCUUAUCCUUUGUUGCCAGCGGUCCGGCCGGGAACUCAAAGGAGACUGCCAGUGAUAAACUGGAGGAAGGUGGGGAUGACGUCAAGUCAUCAUGGCCCUUACGACCAGGGCUACACACGUGCUACAAUGGCGCAUACAAAGAGAAGCGACCUCGCGAGAGCAAGCGGACCUCAUAAAGUGCGUCGUAGUCCGGAUUGGAGUCUGCAACUCGACUCCAUGAAGUCGGAAUCGCUAGUAAUCGUGGAUCAGAAUGCCACGGUGAAUACGUUCCCGGGCCUUGUACACACCGCCCGUCACACCAUGGGAGUGGGUUGCAAAAGAAGUAGGUAGCUUAACCUUCGGGAGGGCGCUUACCACUUUGUGAUUCAUGACUGGGGUGAAGUCGUAACAAGGUAACCGUAGGGGAACCUGC